rnacentral:rRNA from 1 species
AAACAUGGCUCUUUGUAAUCUAUAAAUAAGGAGUCGGACCUGCCCAGUGAGUGUUUUAACGGCCGCGGUACUUUGACCGUGCAAAGGUAGCAUAAUCAGUUGCCUUAUAAUUGAAGGCUAGUAUGAACGGUUUGACAAGAGUAUAACUGUCUCUAUAUAAUUUAAUAGAAUUUUAUCUAUAGGUGAAGAGGCCUGUAUUAAAUUAAAAGACAAGAAGACCCUAUUGAGCUUCAAAAAAAUUAAUAAAUUUAAGUCUUAUAGAUAUUAAAAAGCUGGUUAUUAAAAAUUUUGGUUGGGGCGACUAAGGAACAAAAGAAGCUUCCUUUAUAUCUAUCAAAUAAACGAAUAUUGAUCCAGAAUAUUUUGACUAAAGAAAUUAGUUACCAUAGGGAUAACAGCAUUAUCUUUUUUAAGAGUCCUUAUCGAAAAAAGGGAUUGUGACCUCGAUGUUGGACCAGAAUAUCCAAAAGAUGCAGAAGUCUUUAAAGGUUGGUCUGUUCGACCAUUAAAAUUCUA